rnacentral:rRNA from 1 species
UACCAGCUCUCCGAGUGGUGUGGAUGUUUAUUGGGCCUAAAGCAUCCGUAGCUGGCUGGACAAGUCCCCUGUUAAGUCCACCGAUUUAAUCGUUGGAGUGCGGGGGAUACUGUUCGGCUAGGGGACGGGAGAGGCAGACGAUAUUUUCGGGGUAGGGGUGAAAUCCUAUAAUCCCGGGAAGACCACCAGUGGCGAAGGCUGUCUGCUAGAACGCGCCCGACGGUGAGGGAUGAAGCUGGGGGAGCGAACCGGAUUAGAUACCCGGGUAGUCCCAGCUGUAAACGAUGCAGGCUAGGUGUUUGGGCGGCCACGUGCCGCUCUAGUGCCGCAGGGAAGCCGUUAAGCCUGCCGCCUGGGGAGUACGGCCGCAAGGCUGAAACUUAAGGAAUUGGCGGGGGAGCACCACAAGGGGUGAAGCUUGCGGUUU